rnacentral:rRNA from 1 species
GAUGAACGCUGGCGGCGUGCCUAAUACAUGCAAGUCGAGCGAACAGAUGAGGAGCUUGCUCCUCUGACGUUAGCGGCGGACGGGUGAGUAACACGUGGAUAACCUACCUAUAAGACUGGGAUAACUUCGGGAAACCGGAGCUAAUACCGGAUAAUAUAUUGAACCGCAUGGUUCAAUAGUGAAAGACGGUUUUGCUGUCACUUAUAGAUGGAUCCGCGCCGCAUUAGCUAGUUGGUAAGGUAACGGCUUACCAAGGCAACGAUGCGUAGCCGACCUGAGAGGGUGAUCGGCCACACUGGAACUGAGACACGGUCCAGACUCCUACGGGAGGCAGCAGUAGGGAAUCUUCCGCAAUGGGCGAAAGCCUGACGGAGCAACGCCGCGUGAGUGAUGAAGGUCUUCGGAUCGUAAAACCCUGUUAUUAGGGAAGAACAAAUGUGUAAGUAACUGUGCACGUCUUGACGGUACCUAAUCAGAAAGCCACGGCUAACUACGUG